GAAACACCUCGUGGGUCUCGUGGUGAGAGAGCUUUUGUAUCAGGACACUCCCUCUAGCCCCUGAUGUCACGUGCCCGCCCUCGUAUCUCCUGACAAGGGUUCGAGCAUGUGGCCCUGUUUAGG